UACGUAGGGACCGAGCGUUGUCCGGAAUCAUUGGGCGUAAAGAGCGUGUAGGCGGCCACUUAAGUCCUGCGUGAAAUCUUGCGGCUCAACCGCAAGCGGUCGUGGGAAACUGGGUGGCUAGAGUGCGGGGAGAGGAGAGUGGAAUUCCUGGUGUAGCGGUGGAAUGCGCAGAUAUCAGGAAGAACACCCGUGGCGAAGGCGGCUCUCUGGAACGCAACUGACGCUGAGACGCGAAAGCGUGGGGAGCAAACAGG
rnacentral:rRNA from 1 species